rnacentral:tRNA from 1 species
GGGGAUAUAGAUCAGUUGGUAGAGUGUUUGCCUCAAAUGCAUGAAGCCCUAGGUUCAAUCCCCAGCACCACCA